rnacentral:rRNA from 1 species
GAUGAACGCUGGCGGCGUGCCUAAUACAUGCAAGUCGAGCGAACGGACGAGAAGCUUGCUUCUCUGAUGUUAGCGGCGGACGGGUGAGUAACACGUGGAUAACCUACCUAUAAGACUGGGAUAACUUCGGGAAACCGGAGCUAAUACCGGAUAAUAUUUUGAACCGCAUGGUUCAAAAGUGAAAGACGGUCUUGCUGUCACUUAUAGAUGGAUCCGCGCCGCAUUAGCUAGUUGGUAAGGUAACGGCUUACCAAGGCAACGAUGCAUAGCCGACCUGAGAGGGUGAUCGGCCACACUGGAACUGAGACACGGUCCAGACUCCUACGGGAGGCAGCAGUAGGGAAUCUUCCGCAAUGGGCGAAAGCCUGACGGAGCAACGCCGCGUGAGUGAUGAAGGUCUUCGGAUCGUAAAGCUCUGUUAUUAGGGAAGAACAUAUGUGUAAGUAACUGUGCACAUCUUGACGGUACCUAAUCAGAAAGCCACGGCUAACUACGUGCCAGCAGCCGCGGUAAUACGUAGGUGGCAAGCGUUAUCCGGAAUUAUUGGGCGUAAAGCGCGCGUAGGCGGUUUUUUAGUCUGAUGUGAAAGCCCACGGCUCAACCGUGGAGGGUCAUUGGAAACUGGAAAACUUGAGUGCAGAAGAGGAAAGUGGAAUUCCAUGUGUAGCGGUGAAAUGCGCAGAGAUAUGGAGGAACACCAGUGGCGAAGGCGACUUUCUGGUCUGUAACUGACGCUGAUGUGCGAAAGCGUGGGGAUCAAACAGGAUUAGAUACCCUGGUAGUCCACGCCGUAAACGAUGAGUGCUAAGUGUUAGGGGGUUUCCGCCCCUUAGUGCUGCAGCUAACGCAUUAAGCACUCCGCCUGGGGAGUACGACCGCAAGGUUGAAACUCAAAGGAAUUGACGGGGACCCGCACAAGCGGUGGAGCAUGUGGUUUAAUUCGAAGCAACGCGAAGAACCUUACCAAAUCUUGACAUCCUUUGACAACUCUAGAGAUAGAGCUUUCCCCUUCGGGGGACAAAGUGACAGGUGGUGCAUGGUUGUCGUCAGCUCGUGUCGUGAGAUGUUGGGUUAAGUCCCGCAACGAGCGCAACCCUUAAGCUUAGUUGCCAUCAUUAAGUUGGGCACUCUAAGUUGACUGCCGGUGACAAACCGGAGGAAGGUGGGGAUGACGUCAAAUCAUCAUGCCCCUUAUGAUUUGGGCUACACACGUGCUACAAUGGACAAUACAAAGGGCAGCGAAACCGCGAGGUCAAGCAAAUCCCAUAAAGUUGUUCUCAGUUCGGAUUGUAGUCUGCAACUCGACUACAUGAAGCUGGAAUCGCUAGUAAUCGUAGAUCAGCAUGCUACGGUGAAUACGUUCCCGGGUCU